rnacentral:rRNA from 1 species
AAACCAGCACCUCAAGUGGUCAGGAUGAUUAUUGGGCCUAAAGCAUCCGUAGCCUGCUCUGUAAGUUUUCGGUUAAAUCUGUAUGCUCAACAUACAGGCUGCCGGGAAUACUGCAGAGCUAGGGAGUGGGAGAGGUAGACGGUACUCGGGAGGAAGUGGUAAAAUGCUUUGAUCUCUCGAUGACCACCUGUGGCGAAGGCGGUCUACCAGAACACGUUCGACGGUGAGGGAUGAAAGCUGGGGGAGCAAACCGGAUUAGAAACCCGAGUAGUCC